CAGUUGCGAAAGCUUCCAUGCUUUUUCAUGCUUCCAUGAUUCCAUCACAUCAUCGAUCCACUUAACUGAGUAAUUAGGCAGGAUGUGGCUUGUUAAGGUUUGGAAAAGUCAUUCAUUUGUUCAGCUAAAAAUACAGAGAGCUCUAUUCGAUCCCUGUGUGGUGGUUCUAACAGAACAAACCGUGACCAGAAUGGCUGAAGCUUGAAACUCUCCACUGAUAUCACCCACACAAUGAUGUGUGUUAGAUCUGAUCUCUGAGGUGGCGAAUAUGAUUUUUUAUGAUUGGUCAUUUACUCAGCACAGGUCCUCCCUUGAGUUCACAAAACAAAAGCAUCUGGUAACAAGAACUUACAUGGCUCGUUUCCAGACUCCCCCUUCCAGGUUAAAAACCAAGGGUCAGAGUUUAUCACCCCAGCCUCGAGCACAGCCAUAGCGGUAGAUAAUGAGGAGAGAGGUCAAAGUUCACCAGGCUUCAAUGCACAGGUCGUGGGGAGUUGAACCCCUCUGUAAGUUUCUACAGUCAAUUGGUCCCUGAGCAGACAUUCCCAUCCAUUCAAUAUUCGGCGACGUGACGUGUGCGGUGACUUGCACACACUGAGCGUGUUGUGGAGGAAACUUUGUUUCAUACUCGCAGGCUGUAGCAAACUGCAUACUUGAAGCUGAAAUGUCUUAUUUGCACUGCAGAGCGAUUUAUUCUGUUUUGUGGGGUGGCUUGCUGGCGGGACGCCCGGUGGAAUUGGAGCCAAAGCAUGUGUCAGGAGACUGAGUGAGGUGAGCAGAGACAGAUACAGGUUUACAUGUCUCUUUGAGUCACCCCUCAGGCAGCAGCGCCUCUGCAUUCAUCAGAAUACUGCAAACAAUGGAAUACACAUUCUCUCCAUCUGAGCCGUCUCCAGAAACAGCCCUGAUGCAUGUCUGUGGCUCUGGCUGUGAACGGGCCCCUUCCCAGGAUUUCACCUCAAACCACAAGGGAAAAAACAGCUCUUCAUGUCCCUGGUCCACCGCUCAUGUGUGCAGGAGCUGACGGCUGCAGGCCAGAGUGACUGGCCGUGUCAAGCGAGAGUUUGUGCUGUCAUGUUACCUCGAGAAUCCUGUUUCACGUCGAUGUGCACACUCACCAAAAACACAGCGCUGGAAACACUUGGCCCCGAGCUACUUUCCCAUCCAGCUGCGAUGUUGAACGCACAUUUGACUUCUGCUAGUUUUCAAGCUUUCAGUAUCAUGUCAUUUCAGAAUGGCUAUGGUUUUUAAUUGAUAUUGUCUCAAAGGUCCCACUCAUUCUGUACUUGCUCUUGAGUAUGCUGCAAUUGAAGGAGCUUAUUUGAGCUACUUAACUUGGAAGUAUGAAAACAGUGUUUUGGAGUCACAUUUUUCAAAAGCCACUUUUUUUCUUCUUUAAGAACAUUGUAAUCCAUCAAAUCUUAGUAGUGAAAAUAGAAGUUGUGUGCAUGUUUACACUCACAUAUACUUGGAGGCAUACCAGACUUAUGUUGUUCUUAUAUAAAG